GCCGGCGUAGCCGAAUAGGAAUAGGCAGCGAGCUUGGAACUCGUGAGCUUGUAGCUCGUGGGAGUUCGAAUCUCCCCGCCGGCA
rnacentral:tRNA from 2 species